CUCCUACGGGAGGCAGCAGUAAGGAAUAUUGGUCAAUGGGCGGAAGCCUGAACCAGCCAUGCCGCGUGCAGGAAGACGGCCCUACGGGUUGUAAACUGCUUUUAUACGGGAAUAAACCUCGAUUCGUGAAUCGAGCUGAAUGUACUGUAAGAAUAAGGAUCGGCUAACUCCGUGCCAGCAGCCGCGGUAAUAC
rnacentral:rRNA from 1 species